GUAGGGUCAAGUUUGAAGCAGAAAUUGAGUCUGGGUUGGAUCUUGUAUGGGUUAGGAUUACAUCUAGAUCCUAGUUGUGUUCGGUUCAUAAAGUCAUAUACCUGAAUAUAAUAUAUAAUAAGGUUAAGUCAAGUCCCAGUUGGAUGAACUUCUAGUAGCCUAGUAGGGACUAAAUUAUAGAAAUUCUCAUGGGUCUAUGUUUGAACCCAGAUCAUGUUUCGGUUGGA
rnacentral:lncRNA from 1 species